AGUGAACGCUGGCGGUAGGCCUAACACAUGCAAGUCGAACGGCAGCACAGUAAGAGCUUGCUCUUACGGGUGGCGAGUGGCGGACGGGUGAGGAAUACAUCGGAAUCUACUUUUUCGUGGGGGAUAACGUAGGGAAACUUACGCUAAUACCGCAUACGACCUACGGGUGAAAGCAGGGGAUCUUCGGACCUUGCGCGAUUGAAUGAGCCGAUGUCGGAUUAGCUAGUUGGCGGGGUAAAGGCCCACCAAGGCGACGAUCCGUAGCUGGUCUGAGAGGAUGAUCAGCCACACUGGAACUGAGACACGGUCCAGACUCCUACGGGAGGCAGCAGUGGGGAAUAUUGGACAAUGGGCGCAAGCCUGAUCCAGCCAUACCGCGUGGGUGAAGAAGGCCUUCGGGUUGUAAAGAACUUUUGUUGGGAAAGAAAAGCAGCAGGUUAAUACCCCGCUGUUCUGACGGUACCCAAAGAAUAAGCACCGGCUAACUUCGUG
rnacentral:rRNA from 1 species